AAGGAUAGCUAAUAAAAUGGUUUGCCUAGCAAUGAAAAGAGAAUUGUGUGGAAAUCACAAACGGUCCGGCCACUGUAAACGAGGAGCCUUACUAACCACUGAGAAAUUGGGAAGGGAAGUAAAUGAUGCGAUGAUUCGUAAGUCAGGAGAACUGCCAUUUUAUUUGUGUGAUAC
rnacentral:ncRNA from 23 species